UGGAGUUGGAGUUCUCACUAUUUGCAAAAAAUUAACAUAAUGGAAUAUAUUUUAGAUUAAAAUGCCCGGUCGUGUCCCAAUCAAGAGGAGUAAAACCUACACAACUCCACGACGUCCCUUCGAGAAGGAACGUUUGGACCAGGAGUUGAAACUUAUUGGAGAGUUUGGUCUGAGAAACAAACGUGAAGUAUGGCGCGUGAAGUACACUCUCGGUAAAGUACGAAAGGCCGCCAGAGAGUUGCUCACCUUGGAUGAGAAAGACCAAAGACGACUUUUUGAAGGUAACAGGAGUUAAAUUUUCUUAAACAAUUUUUUGGAUGAAUGUUGUGAUACAUCUGCCAUUUACAUCUUUACUUUGUCUAUAAACAAAAAGGAAUACUGAUCUACACUGUUAAAGUAUUGUGUUGUUGUGUCUUCUUUUCAGGUAAUGCUUUGCUGAGACGUCUUGUCAGAAUUGGUGUGUUGGAUGAAGGCAAAAUGAAACUCGAUUACGUGCUGGGUUUGAAACUGGAAGACUUCUUGGAGAGAAGACUGCAAACACAGGUCUUCAAACUGGGUCUUGCCAAGAGCAUCCAUCAUGCUCGAGUCCUCAUCAGACAGAGACACAUCAGGUUAAUAUUAAAGGCAUUCUCAAUUUCCUUUGAAAUGGCAGAAAGAAUAAAAUAUUAUUCAUGUUCCCGCUCUGCAGAAAUAAUGAACUCAAAUUCUUGUAGAUAUUGUCUUUUCUUGAUGUUAAACAUUUUCAAACAUGCUCCAUGUCCUGAUGAAAUUGACCUUGUAUUACAGCUGAAGAGAGUGACAUUUUUGAGUAUGAGAUAAAAAUUUCAGUUAGGCCACUUCUUAACCCUGUGUGGUUAUAGAAUGUCUAACAUUGCCCAUGUUCAUUGGCACUAGAGAUUUGGAGAACAUGCGUUCAAGAUUCUGUUGGGCCACUUGAGAAAUUUAACAUUUCUCAACGUCCACUUGUCAUUUCUGAACUUUGUUCAGUUCUCUAAUUUGAUGACGGUGCCUUUCCUUGUGAAGUAAUACGAAGGUAUAUCGAUCAGUGUCAUUUGUAAAGCAUUGUCCAGGAUAAUAAUGAUGUUCAUGAUUUGAGUUCAUGAUGUUUUAGAUUCCACAGAAUUGCAUUUAUGUAUUUGUGCACAGCAAUGUAACUGAAACAUUCCCAUUACAGAGUCAGGAAGCAGGUGGUCAAUAUUCCAUCCUUUGUGGUGCGUCUAGACUCCCAGAAACACAUUGACUUCUCCCUCAGGUCACCAUACGGUGGUGGACGCCCAGGUAAAUUUAUUCUUCUUAAAAAAAAUUGAGCAUCAAUUU
rnacentral:misc_RNA from 1 species